GAACGGGUGAGUAACACGUGGGUGAUCUGCCCUGCACUUUGGGAUAAGCCUGGGAAACUGGGUCUAAUACCGAAUAGGACCACGCGCUUCAUGGUGUGUGGUGGAAAGCUUUUGCGGUGUGGGAUGGGCCCGCGGCCUAUCAGCUUGUUGGUGGGGUAAUGGCCUACCAAGGCGACGACGGGUAGCCGGCCUGAGAGGGUGACCGGCCACACUGGGACUGAGAUACGGCCCAGACUCCUACGGGAGGCAGCAGUGGGGAAUAUUGCACAAUGGGCGCAAGCCUGAUGCAGCGACGCCGCGUGAGGGAUGACGGCCUUCGGGUUGUAAACCUCUUUCAAUAGGGACGAAGCGCAAGUGACGGUACCUAUAGAAGAAGCACCGGCCAACUACGUGCCAGCAGCCGCGGUAAUACGUAGGGUGCGAGCGUUGUCCGGAAUUACUGGGCGUAAAGAGCUCGUAGGUGGUUUGUCGCGUUGUUCGUGAAAACUCACAGCUUAACUGUGGGCGUGCGGGCGAUACGGGCAGACUAGAGUACUGCAGGGGAGACUGGAAUUCCUGGUGUAGCGGUGGAAUGCGCAGAUAUCAGGAGGAACACCGGUGGCGAAGGCGGGUCUCUGGGCAGUAACUGACGCUGAGGAGCGAAAGCGUGGGGAGCGAACAGGAUUAGAUACCCUGGUAGUCCACGCCGUANACGGUGGGUACUAGGUGUGGGUUCCUUCCUUGGGAUCCGUGCCGUAGCUAACGCAUUAAGUACCCCGCCUGGGGAGUACGGCCGCAAGGC
rnacentral:rRNA from 1 species